rnacentral:snRNA from 1 species
GGCUAUGAGGGCCAUCUGACUGUAAUGUCUGUCAUCCCAUUGAUCCCUAGGGUUGACUCAGCUGAUCUAGAUGGGUAGGCAGGUUUCCGCUCCUCUCUCACUGAGCCAUGUUUGCCCAUCCUGAAGCUUAAUGCUUGGAUGAUUGAAGAUGAUGAGGACAAGUGUUUACUCAAAGACAUAGAGGAGCUGUGCUCCCCUGCUAGAAGCCUCCCAAUAAGCUCUCAAAGAUAGCUAUUUUUAGGAAUUUUAUUUCUAGGGAUUUAUAGGGACCUUUUAAUACCAAAGUAUUGAUCUUU